UCUACCCUCCAUAUGUAUAACUUAUAAAAUUUAUAACUUUCAAACUGGACUCCUGGAGUCAUUGAAGCUUUUGAGGAUUUAGGAGGUGCCAGGUGAAAAAGAACUUGAUCAUUGGCUGACAGCGUGCACAGUGGGUUAAAUUGAGAAGCUGUAUGCUGUUGAUGAAUUUGAAGGUGCUGCAUGGUCUACUAAGCUGACUGAUCAAAAUGUAAAACCCAAUUCCUACAACAGGAUAAAGAAAAAGGACUUGAUAAUUGGCUGUUAGCUAGCACAGUGAGAUUACAUUGAGAAGCUGUGUGCAAUUGAUGGGUUUGAAGACGCUGCGAGGUCUACUAAGCUUACUGAUACAUAUAAAACCCAAUUCCUAUAACAAGAUUAAGAUGAUACAUCUUUAAUUUUCAAGACUGACAGAAAUAAAGACAAUUCUGACGAUGUAAGCCGUGCUAUGUUGCAUGUAUCUCACUGGUUUACUGCUAAUAACUUAGUUGUGAACGCAAAGAAAACAAAGUGCG